AUUGAACGCUGGCGGCAGGCCUAACACAUGCAAGUCGAGCGGAGCGGGGGACGGGUGCGUAAUGCCGGGGUAUCUGCCUGGUAGUGGGGGAUCAAGUCCGGAAACGGGCGCUAAUACCGCAUACGAUCAGAUGGGCCUCGGUCGGAUUAGCUAGUUGGUGGGGUAAAGGCCGACCAAGGCGACGAUCCGUAACUGGUCUGAGAGGAUGAUCAGUCAACCUGGAACUGAGAAACGGUCCGUACUCCUACGGGAGGCAGCAGUGGGGAAUAUUGGACAAUGGGCUAAAGCCUGAUCCAGCCAUGCCGCGUGUGUGAAGAAGGUCUUCGGAUUGUAAAGCACUUUAAGUCGGGAGGCGUUACCAACAGAAUAAGCACCGGCUAACUUCGUGCCAGCAGCCGCGGUAAUAC
rnacentral:rRNA from 1 species